rnacentral:rRNA from 1 species
AUUGAACGCUGGCGGCAUGCCUUACACAUGCAAGCCGAACGGUAACAGGCCGCAAGGUGCUGACGAGUGGCGAACGGGUAAGUAAUACAUCGGACCGUGCCCGAUCGUGGGGGCUAACGCAGCGAAAGCUGUGCUAAUACCGCAUACGAUCUACGGAUGAAAGCGGGGGAUCGCAAGACCACGCGCGGACGGAGCGGCCGAUGGCAGAUUAGGUAGUUGGUGGGGUAAAGGCCUACCAAGCCGACGAUCUGUAGCUGGUCUGAGAGGACGACCAGCCACACUGGGACUGAGACACGGCCCAGACUCCUACGGGAGGCAGCAGUGGGGAAUUUUGGACAAUGGGCGCAAGCCUGAUCCAGCCAUGCCGCGUGCAGGAUGAAGGCCUUCGGGUUGUAAACUGCUUUUGUACGGAACGAAAAGGUUUCUUUUAAUACAGGGAACUGAUGACGGUACCGUAAGAAUAAGCACCGGCUAACUACGUGCCAGCCGCCGCAGUAAGAC